AAAAGCAAAGGGACAUUUCAGCACUCCAGCUUCCUUGCCGGUGGAGCCACAUUUGCUGCCGGGAGAUUAGUCCUCGCGAACGGGAUCCUAAAGGCUGUCUGGCCUCAUAGCGGGCACUACCGGCCCACGGAGGCGAACUUCCGGGAGUUCAUGAAGUAUCUCAGGAAGAGGAACGUCGAUCUCACGGAUGUGAAGUUGAGCCCAACAGAAGGCGAGGAGGACGAAUGGCUGAGGAGCAGCCUCUCCCAGAUGGAUCUUUCUGCUAUGGUCCUUCUUCCGCUACUUAUAUAUGGUUUUAAGCUUGGUAUAACAGGAGCCGCAAUUUCUACGGU